rnacentral:rRNA from 1 species
UACGAAGGGGGCGAGCGUUGUUCGGAUUUACUGGGCGUAAAGGGCGCGUAGGCGGCGUGUCAAGUCAGGCGUGAAAGCCCCGGGCUCAACCUGGGAACCGCGCUUGAGACUGGCAUGCUCGAGUUCGGGAGAGGAUGGUGGAAUUCCCAGUGUAGAGGUGAAAUUCGUAGAUAUUGGGAAGAACACCGGAUGGCGAAGGCAGAUCUCUGGGCCGUAACUGACGCUGAGGAGCGAAAGCAUGGGGAGCGAACGAG